rnacentral:rRNA from 1 species
ACGAACGCUGGCGGCGUGCUUAACACAUGCAAGUCGAGCGGUAAGGCCCUUUCGGGGGUACACAAGCGGCGAACGGGUGAGUAAUACGUGGGUGACCUGCCCUCAGCUCUGGGAUAAGCCUGGGAAACCGGGUCUAAUACCGGAUAUGACUCCAUGACGCAUGUUGUGGGGUGGAAAGCCUUGUGCGGCUGAGGAUGGGCCCGCGGCCUAUCAGCUUGUUGGUGGGGUGAUGGCCUACCAAGGCGACGACGGGUAGCCGGCCUGAGAGGGCGACCGGCCACACUGGGACUGAGACACGGCCCAGACUCCUACGGGAGGCAGCAGUGGGGAAUCUUGCGCAAUGGGCGAAAGCCUGACGCAGCGACGCCGCGUGAGGGAUGACGGCCU